rnacentral:rRNA from 1 species
UGCAGUCGAACGAUGAUCCCAGCUUGCUGGGGGAUUAGUGGCGAACGGGUGAGUAACACGUGAGUAACCUGCCCUUAACUCUGGGAUAAGCCUGGGAAACUGGGUCUAAUACCGGAUAUGACUCCUCAUCGCAUGGUGGGGGGUGGAAAGCUUUAUUGUGGUUUUGGAUGGACUCGCGGCCUAUCAGCUUGUUGGUGAGGUAAUGGCUCACCAAGGCGACGACGGGUAGCCGGCCUGAGAGGGUGACCGGCCACACUGGGACUGAGACACGGCCCAGACUCCUACGGGAGGCAGCAGUGGGGAAUAUUGCACAAUGGGCGAAAGCCUGAUGCAGCGACGCCGCGUGAGGGAUGACGGCCUUCGGGUUGUAAACCUCUUUCAGUAGGGAAGAAGCGAAAGUGACGGUACCUGCAGAAGAAGCGCCGGCUAACUACGUGCCAGCAGCCGCGGUAAUACGUAGGGCGCAAGCGUUAUCCGGAAUUAUUGGGCGUAAAGAGCUCGUAGGCGGUUUGUCGCGUCUGCCGUGAAAGUCCGGGGCUCAACUCCGGAUCUGCGGUGGGUACGGGCAGACUAGAGUGAUGUAGGGGAGACUGGAAUUCCUGGUGUAGCGGUGAAAUGCGCAGAUAUCAGGAGGAACACCGAUGGCGAAGGCAGGUCUCUGGGCAUUAACUGACGCUGAGGAGCGAAAGCAUGGGGAGCGAACAGGAUUAGAUACCCUGGUAGUCCAUGCCGUAAACGUUGGGCACUAGGUGUGGGGGACAUUCCACGUUUUCCGCGCCGUAGCUAACGCAUUAAGUGCCCCGCCUGGGGAGUACGGCCGCA